rnacentral:lncRNA from 1 species
CAUGGCUUCGUACCUGGCUGCUCAGAGUGAGGUCUGCAGACCAGCAGCGUCACCACCACCAGGUAGCCUGUCGAAAUGCGGAAGUUUGGGCCCCACCUGGACCUAAUAAGUGAGAUUUUGCAUUUUAGCGAGCCCCCAGGGGUACCAGACAAACAAGGGUUAAUAGGAUCUUCAGAGGAUCGAGAUACAAAGAUCUACGUGCACAGUGAGGAGGAACAACGCGGAAACUCCAAGCUGAAGAGAAACAACUGUGUUACUACGUUUCCCUGAGGAUGAUUGCGGCCACCUAUUAGACACCAGCACCUUUCCAGGCUCUGGGUUCCACGAGAAAUGAAACCUGCGAAUACGUCUCCCCACACAGCAAAAGGGACCUGGGGAGUGUGAUUAAGUCAAGGAUCUCGAGAUGGGAGAUGAUGCUGGAUUAUCCGGAAGGGACAAUGUCAUCCCAGGGGUCCUUAUCAGAGAGAGAUGGGAGAUUCAGAGACAGAGAGAGAUUUGAAGAUGCCACACUGCUGGAUUGGACAACACAAGGCGGCCGUGUGUCAAGGAAUGGCAGCAGCUUCCAGAAGCUAGAAAACCAAGGAACAGAGCCCCCAGCAGACCUUCCAGAGGGUGCCCUGCUGGCACCUUGCUUUUAGGACUCUGACCUCCAGAACUGUAAGAGAAUAAAUGUGUGCCAUCUAAAGCCAAAGCUUGUAGCAAUUUGUUACAGUGGCAACAGGAAACACACAUAGGAAGAGACAGACGAUAAACAGAUAAUUGAAGAAGAUACAUAUUAUGUCAGGGGAAAUAAGUGCCACGGAGGAAAAGGGUGCAGAGAAGGGGAGAGAGAGUGAGGGACGGG